GUUGGAUGGUGUUUCCAGGUUCCAGGUUGGGUGGUGUUUUCAGGUUCCAGGUUGGGUGGUGUUUCCAGGUUGGGUGGUGUUUCCAGGUUCCAGGUUGGGUAGUGGUUCCAGGUUGGAUGGUGUUUCCAGGUUGGGUGGUGUUUCCAGGUUCCAGGUUGGGUAGUGGUUCCAGGUUGGAUGGUGUUUCCAGGUUGGGUGGUGUUUCCAGGUUCCAGGUUGGGUGGUGGUUCCAGGAUGGAUGGUGUUUCCAGGUUCCAGGUUGGAUGGUGUUUCCAGGUUCCAGGUUGGAUGGUGUUUCCAGGUUAGAUGGUGUUUCCAGGUUCCAGGUUGGGUAGUGUUUCCAGGUUGGAUGGUGUUUCCAGGUUCCAGGUUGGAUGGUGUUUCCAGGUUCCAGGUUGGAUGGUGUUUCCAGGUUCCAGGUUGGAUGGUGUUUUCAGGUUCCAGGUUGGAUGGUGUUUCCAGGUUCCAGGUUGGAUGGUGUUUCCAGGUUCCAGGUUGCAUGGUGUUUUCAGGUUCCAGGUUGGAUGGUGUUUUCAGGUUCCAGGUUGGAUGGUGUUUCCAGGUUCCAGGUUGGAUGGUGUUUCCAGGUUCCUGGUUGGAUGGUGUUUCCAGGUUCCAGGUUGGAUGGUGGUUCCAGGUUCCAGGUUGGGUGGUGGUUCCAGGUUCCAGGUUGGGUGGUGGUUCCAGGUUCCAGGUUGGGUGGUGUUUCCAGGUUCCAGGUUGGGUGGUGUUUCCAGGUUCCAGGUUGGGUGGUGUUUUCAGGUUCCAGGUUGGGUGGUGUUUUCAGGUUCCAGGUUGGGUGGUGUUUUCAGGUUCCAGUUUAGGUGGUGUUUUCACGUUCCAGGUUCGGGGGAUGUUUCCAGGUUCCAGGUUGGGUGGUGGUUCCAGGUUCCAGGUUGGAUGGUGUUUCCAGGUUGGAUGGUGUUUUCAGGUUCCAGGUUGGAUGGUGUUUCCAGGUUGGAUGGUGUUUCCAGGUUCCAGGUUGGAUGGUGUUUUCAGGUUCCAGGUUGGAUGGUGUUUCCAGGUUCCAGGUUGGAUGGUGUUUCCAGGUUCCAGGUUGGGUGGUGUUUCCAGGUUCCAGGUUGGGUGGUGGUUCCAGGUUGGAUGGUGGUUCCAGGUUGGAUGGUGGUUCCAGGUUCCAGGUUGGGUGGUGUUUCCAGGUUCCAGGUUGGGUGGUGUUUUCAGGUUCCAGGUUGGGUGGUGUUUCCAGGUUCCAGGUUGGGUGGUGUUUCCAGGUUCCAGGUAGGAUGGUGUUUCCAGGUUCCAGGUUGGAUGGUGUUUCCAGGUUCCAGGUUGGGUGGUGUUUCCAGGUUGGGUGGUGUUUCCAGGUUCCAGGUUGGAUGGUGUUUCCAGGUUCCAGGUUGGAUGGUGUUUCCAGGUUCCAGGUUGGAUGGUGUUUCCAGGUUCCAGGUUGGAUGGUGUUUCCAGGUUCCAGGUUGGGUGGUGUUUCCAGGUUCCAGGUUGGAUGGUGUUUCCAGGUUGGGUGGUGGUUCCAGGUUCCAGGUUGGAUGGUGUUUCCAGGUUCCAGGUUGGGUGGUGUUUCCAGGUUGGAUGGUGUUUCCAGGUUCCUGGUUGGAUGGUGUUUCCAGGUUCCAGGUUGGAUGGUGUUUCCAGGUUCCAGGUUGGAUGGUGGUUCCAGGUUCCAGGUUGGAUGGUGUUUCCAGGUUCCAGGUUGGGUGGUGUUUUCAGGUUCCAGGUUGGGUGGUGUUUUCAGGCUCCAGGUUGGGUGGUGUUUCCAGGUUCCAGGUUGGAUGGUGUUUCCAGGUUCCAGGUUGGAUGGUGUUUCCAGGUUCCAGGUAGGAUGGUGUUUUCAGGUUCCAGGUUGGAUGAUGUUUUCAGGUUCCAGGUUGGAUGGUGUUUCCAGGUUGGGUGGUGUUUCCAGGUUCCAGGUUGGGUGGUGUUUCCAGGUUCCAGGUUGGGUGGUGGUUCCAGGUUGGGUGGUGUUUCCAGGUUCCAGGUUGGGUGGUGGUUCCAGGUUGGAUGGUGUUUCUAGGUUCCAGGUUGGGUGGUGGUUCCAGGUUCCAGGUUGGGUGGUGGUUCCAGGUUGGAUGGUGUUUCCAGGUUCCAGGUUGGGUGGUGUUUCCAGGUUCCAGGUUGGAUGGUGUUUUCAG
rnacentral:lncRNA from 1 species